AGUCAGGUGCUCUCGCGGUAGUGGCGCUUGUGUAGUUGUAAGACCCGAGACUGCUGUUUUUACACUAGCGAACGCGAACUGACGUCGAACGCGUCAACUCAGCGCGACUUAUUUGCAAAAGUACCGGUAGUAGGUAUAAUGUGUAUGGGUAUCAAGGGUGGAAAGAAAAUAAUUUACAAGAUAGUGUAAACGACAAAUCUGAUCGUAUUUUUAUUUCAAAACAGAUGUUUGCGGAAAAAUUCUUUGUAACAUAUCGCUCAUUUGCUCAUGGUGUCGGAAGCGCGAACGACACUGCACAGGCCUUCAUACAAGCCGCAAACGCAGUGUUGCACGCGGUUAGCGACGGAGAAGCCGCGAUCGCAGUAAUCAAAAGUGUACCGUGAGUCGCCCCGACGGCUGCGCAGCAUACUGUCAUGCCGGUACCGCAAGCUGCGUAGCAUAACGAUAGAGUCAAGAAGCCCCCACUCGCGGGCUUGAUGCUGCCGAGCAGCAUCAGGAAGACGACAGUUUUCCAAAUUUUGGAAUCCAUUUCCAAAACCAAGAAGUUUCUGCAAAAAUUGGCUAGGUUAUACACGUUUCGAUGUGGAGAUGACGCAAUAUAUUGUUAUGUUCAGGUUCGGGUAAUAAAAAUAACAACACGUUAUUUAUAGAACAUCACUCUUGAACUCGGACUCUUUAUUCGAACGUAAACACAACUGUUCUCAGCAGCUGACUGCAGCACCAGACGAAACAUAAUAAACAAUAACAUCCGCCACGUCGUUGAUCUCGCGUUGCUAAGGUCGCUAUGCGCGAUUCUUGGUGUUCGAGAUGCACAACGUUCAGGCUCGGUCAAAACAAUAUUAUAAACUGAAGUCGAGAUGAACGAAAAACUGCGAGCAGUUGGCAUCGGCGGCGAUUGAUGAGUGUGAACUGUGAGGAGCUGUCUCGUCGCGCUGCAUCAGCAGUGCAGCUGCAUACGAAAAUUGCGAGAGUCGUGAUUGGCUGCUCGGGAAAAAGCAGCCUAGCGUGUGCAAAAUGAAAACGUGAUAUAACUUUGGACGCGAGUAACUUGCCUACAUUUUGCUAGCAUUUGGAAAUAAAUAAAUAAAACUGUACAUGUACGUAAUUGAUCUACAUAUGAUUUUUAUUAUUAUUGAAUCAUUGAUGAAUGUAUUGUUUAAAUACAAUCUACAAUAUUAUAAUGUAUUAGUUGUACAUGUAUUAUAAAGUUUGAACGUUUUUUUUUUUUUUAGUUUUGUUGAUAACAUUCAUCAAUAUUUUAUGGUGUGGGCGCUAUUAAAGCAGCAACGCAUGCGGCUUCGCAUGUUGCAAAAGCUGCGUUACACGCAGCAAGAGCUGGUGUAGCGGCGAUGAUGGUUGCUGGUACAGUUCCAAAGGUAAAACCAGCAGCUGCAAAGCAGGCGCAUGUCACAGCUGCACAGCCUGCAUAACAAAUACCAGCUCCGAUUGGACCGGCACUGGCGAACUGGAUGAGCAGAAGCAGUAAAACAAUCGUUUUGACCUCCAUUUCGAUUGGUAGCAAAUUAUCUCCUUAAUUUGCUUUGUUAUAUGCAGAAUUGUUGGUUGCUGAUGUAGUGUAAGAACGACUUUAAUUAGCCUGGGACAAACGGUUUCUUAGCCAGAGGUGACUUCUUCUCGAGCAGUAU